ensembl:snoRNA U3 Small nucleolar RNA U3
AAGACUGUACUUUCAGGGCUCAUUUCUAUGGUUUGUUACUAGCGAAGUUUGCCUGAAUGUGUGAGUACUAGAAACCAUGAGAAGCAGUGACAGCAUGCAUUGCCUCCUGAGUCUGAAGUGGUUCUUGGUGUUGCUUCAGUGCAAAUGCCUUUGAUGAUUGUUCUUUUCUUUUGGGAGAGUGAGAGAGAGAGAGAGAUCACACUCUGAUAAUU